rnacentral:rRNA from 1 species
CCUACGGGCGGCUGCAGUGAGGAAUAUUGGUCAAUGGACGCAAGUCUGAACCAGCCAUGCCGCGUGCAGGAUGACGGCUCUAUGAGUUGUAAACUGCUUUUGUACGAGGGUAAACUCAGAUACGCGUAUCUGUCUGAAUGUAUCGUAUGAAUAAGGAUCGGCUAACUCCGUGCCAGCAGCCGCGGUAAUACGGAGGAUUCAAGCGUUAUCCGGAUUUCUUGGGUUUAAAGGGUGCGUAGACGGUCUGUUAAGUUAGUGGUGAAAUCCUGAGGCUCAACUUCGGAAUUGCCUUUGAUACUGUUCGGCUAGAGAGUAGUUGCGGUAGGCGGAAUGUGUGGUGUAGCGGUGAAAUGCUUAGAGAGCAUGCAGAACACCGAUUGCGAAGGCAGCUUACCAAGCUACUACUGACGUUGAGGCACGAAAGCGUGGGGAGCAAACAGGAUUAGAUACCCGGGUAGUC